rnacentral:rRNA from 1 species
UGGGGAAUAUUGGACAAUGGGCGAAAGCCUGAUCCAGCCAUGCCGCGUGUGUGAAGAAGGCCUUUUGGUUGUAAAGCACUUUAAGUGGGGAGGAAAAGCUUAUGGUUAAUACCCAUAAGCCCUGACGUUACCCACAGAAUAAGCACCGGCUAACUCUGUGCCAGCAGCCGCAGUAAUACAGAGGGUGCAAGCGUUAAUCGGAAUUACUGGGCGUAAAGCGCGCGUAGGUGGUUAUUUAAGUCAGAUGUGAAAGCCCCGGGCUUAACCUGGGAACUGCAUCUGAUACUGGAUAACUAGAGUAGGUGAGAGGGGAGUAGAAUUCCAGGUGUAGCGGUGAAAUGCGUAGAGAUCUGGAGGAAUACCGAUGGCGAAGGCAGCUCCCUGGCAUCAUACUGACACUGAGGUGCGAAAGCGUGGGUAGCAAACAGGAUUAGAUACCCUGGUAGUCCACGCCGUAAACGAUGUCUAUCAGUCGUUGGGUCUUUUAAAGACUUAGUGACGCAGUUAACGCAAUAAGUAGACCGCCUGGGGAGUACGGCCGCAAGGUUA